AUUGAACGCUGGCGGAAUGCUUUACACAUGCAAGUCGAACGGUAGAGGGGGCAACCCCUCGAGAGUGGCGAACGGGUGAGUAAUAUAGCGGAACGUGCCCAGUCGUGGGGGAUAACGUAGCGACAGUUACGCUAAUACCGCAUACGAUCUAAGGAUGAAAGCGGGGGAGCGCAAGACCUCGCGCGAUUGGAGCGGCCGAUAUCAGAUUAGGUAGUUGGUGGGGUAAAGGCUCACCAAGCCAACGAUCUGUAGCUGGUCUGAGAGGACGACCAGCCACACUGGAACUGAGACACGGUCCAGACUCCUACGGGAGGCAGCAGUGGGGAAUUUUGGACAAUGGACGCAAGUCUGAUCCAGCCAUUCCGCGUGCAGGAUGAAGGCCCUCGGGUUGUAAACUGCUUUUGUACGGAACGAAAAGGUCUCUCUUAAUACGGGGGACUCAUGACGGUACCGUAAGAAUAAGCACCGGCUAACUACGUGCCAGCCGCCGCAGUAA
rnacentral:rRNA from 1 species